UCCGCCAACCCCCCUCCCCUCCCCCCACAAAACAAAGGGAAAAAACCCCAAGACUUCUCCUGCAACUGCGAAUUAAACCUAUGUUUUGAACACAUAUUUCAUAAAACUGCAACUGCGAAGUAAAAUUCAGUGAAACUGCUGGUGUUCAAAUAUCAGUAUCAUCGUAGUAGAGAAACUACUCGUCACCUCCGUUGACAACAAAUGCUCAUCUUCGAAUUUCUUCUCAUCAGAUUGACAUGAAUACAUCAAAAUCUCAGACGACUAAAGGGGAAUCAACUUCAAAGUCUGCGAAGCCUGUGUACGUUCCACCUGGUAGCUUAGUAAGGGGACGAGGGCAAAGCUUUAGUGUAUUGGGAUCUGUAAGAGUAAAUGCUGAACAGAGAGGUUUGAUUGGCAAAAGUAAAACUUUUAGUGUAUUAGCUUCUGAUCAGAAUAAGAUAACUCAUAAUGAUAGUUUUGCGCCUCUUUGUUUUGAACCAAUAUUGGAAGGUGAUGCUCCCCUUCCUCAUCAUGAAGAAGUGAUGCAAGGCACUCAGAGAGAGCCAUGUGAAUCUGAAAAGGCAAAAAAAGUGAGAGGAACGAAUAGGUGUAAAAAUGCUGCAGGACUCAAAGUUGGAGAAAAGUUGAGCGUUGCUUUUUUGAGCUUACAUCAUUAAGCUUUCAGUUUUCCAUUGUGUUAUGGCAUAAAUGAUCAACGAGAUCAUGUCUUGAAACAUAUAAGAAAGUUAUGGAACAAUUGGAGAGGAUCGCUGCACAAGAAUAUUAAGUCUAAAAGAUGAUGCUCAACAAGAUGAUGCUCUAAAAGAUGUGCCAAAUGGGGUAGACAAGAGUGACUGGGAAUGGCUUGUCAAGGAGCAUUUUUUAACUGAAAAAUUUAAGGAAAAAAGUGCAAGAAACUCGAUCAAUAGGUCUAAGUUGAGUAUGUCUCAUCGUACGGGUAGUAAGCCAAUUAGAGAGAUCAUUUAUGAAUUGGUGAGUAAAUCUUGCAAACUAUUAAGAAACCUCAUCCUUGUUAACUUGUUUAUUUUUAAUGUGAAGGAAGGUAAAGAUGGUAAUCCACCAGAUGUGGCAACUAUCUUUUUUGAGACUCCUAAGAAGGAUGCCAAGCUUGUUUAACCUGAAACCAAUGAAAAAUAUGUUAAAAUCCAACAAGUGGUGCAAUCUGAAUCGUCUCUUACAAACAUUGAGGUUGUAGAGAGGUGCUUUGGACCUCAACGCAAGAGUCAUGUUGUUGGAUUUGGUGGUGGGAUAACCGCUAAGGAGUUGAAAGGAGGUAACUCCUCGAAAGCUGCAUUAUUAGAGAAGCUGAUGCUACUGAAAAAGAAAAUGAAUCACUAAAAGGAAGCUUGGAAGGGCUAGAGAGUAAUUAUGAUGUGUUAGAGAGUAAAUACGCACAUCUUGCAAGUACAAUAUUUGAUCAGACUUCAUCACCAUCAUCAAGUGAGCAAUAUGUUAAAUAAUUUAACAGAUCAAACAAUUGAAGUCCAAAGAA